AUUCGCCGAGUGGCUGGCCGCGUUGGCGCGUUGCUCUGCGGCGGCGGGGUCGUACACGGCCAGCAUCAGCGCGUGCGGUCUCUUGAGGCCGGCGUAGCAGCACGGGGGGUUCUUGGUAGGGAGGGGAAGGUUCUUGGCUCGAUCGGUGGAGCACAUGGUGUUCUUGGCUCGCUACUCGAUCGUUGGGAAUUGGGAUCUCCUACGUACGUGUUCUUGGGCGUCUAAGCUUAUCGCGGAAGGCUAAUUCGCUAGUGCUAUCGGUUGCAAUCGCCAAUGGUUCAUGCCGACCUCCCGGAUUAUAUAGAUGGGAUGGGAUGGGAUGCUCGUCGGAAUUGGGCCGAGUCGGUGAAAGAGAGGGCUUUGCCGGCUCCGGGCUCGGAUCUCCUCGUGGCAGGGGAGGACACGUCUAUCGAGAUGGAAGCAUUAAAUGGUGCGUAUCCGAGUACAGCACUCAAUGGAAGAACAGAAAGAUGGCUGGUGGGCCCAGGCUGCGCUGAGCUGUCUGCCCCCCACCCCCUCCUACGCCGGCAGCCAAUGGCGGCCUCCUCCUCCUCCUCCUCCUCCGCGCCAGCACACCCCGUGCGUGAAUCCUCUCUCCGGCAGCGGCGCAUUCCCUCCGCUUCUUCACCCUCGCCUCCCCGCCGCCUCCUGUUCGGCGGUGAGCCGUGAUGGCCUACUACGGUGGCUAUAGAUCAUGGACACCAUCAACCACGAGAGGAGAUGGUGUUGGGUGCUCUUACUGUGGUUCUUGCAGCAAUGGAUCAUGGGUCUCAUCUUCCGCACAGGAGGCAUUCAGUUGUGAUGGGCUGCAGUUGCUCUUCGGCAAUCGGCAUCUUCCGACCUUGAGGCAGGAAGGGGUGUUGCUUGCUCCGCAAGACAGAAAGACGACGGUUGCUAAGCUGAUCCUCACGACCAGAGUCCCAGCAGGUGCAUCUUCACCGGCCUCCACACCCCUGCAAGGACCAACACGGCCAGCAUCGGGCUUGUACCGACUCUGCUUCAGCGACGCCCACCAAGUGUUCGAUGCCAUGCCCCAGUGACGGGUCUGCGGGAUUGUGGCGAAAACCACUGUGUGCCUGUGUCUAUUGAGUGCCCACUAAAGAAGACAAAGGACCGGUGUGCGGAAAGUUGCUGCUUGACUGUUUGUCAAGUUCUGGUGCCUUUUGGCCUUUCCUGCUACAGUCGUGAUCAUUCGUUUCGAGCUCGUUCGCUAGUGAUGCCCAUACUCAGAAGGUGCUCGAUGAAAUGCUGAACAGGAGCAGGAAGAUAAAUUCAAUGGCUAACAGGACUUGGGAGCUGCUCACAUGUUGUGCUGAGCCGUGUGAUGUAAUCAAGCAUGAUCAAGUGUUCUGUUUGCCAUCGGAGUAUAUGUGAUUACCAGUGACAAGACCUGAGGAUUGUGCAAUGAAAACAUUGGUGCUGCUUAUUGUCAAAUGGUAUCAGUCGAUGUUGAGGAGGCUGGCUGAGAUUUACUCAGUGAAGGUGCUGACAUAGAGUGUUUCAGAUUCUUUCCACCAAAGAGGGCACACUGUGUAGUUUCACUGCUACUAGAGGUGUGCAGAUAUUUUGUGAGACUCGAAGGGAAGAUUUAUUCAAGCGGAGGCCAAUUAACGGCAGCAAAUGGAAAGGUUUGUACAAGAGUAGAACGUCAAAGCCUGCAAAUUGAAAAGAAAAAUAGUCGAUUUGUAAUGAAGAAAACAAGGCUAGUUCACUGUGAUAAAGAUAAGAAGAUUGUAGAAGUGCACUCACUGCUGGAGAUUGUCUGCAAGGCUGAAAGGAAAAGAAAAGAAUAAUUUAUAUUGCUUUCAGAAAAUAUGAAUCUGUGCUUUUCAAACAUAGCACUAAUGGAAGCUGUAUUAGUUAACCUUUAAACUUGAAAGUGACAUCACAUUUUCACAGUGCUAGGAGAUACAUUUCAUUAGUGAACAAUUUAAAAGUUCAAAAUACUUACGAGUUCUGCAUUUACUUUGCAGGAGUUCUGCCACCAUAUCUUGCCAUUUCCAUCAAUGGUCCCACCACCAGUGACAGUCAGACCUCUCACAGCUUUGAACAGAAUCCAGUGCCUAAUGGUUUGCUCGAUCCAAUAUGAUCUCUUUUGAGGAGCCACCAAAGUACCCUCUAUCUGGAAUUUGGUGGAAUUUGAGAUCUUUGUUUGGAAAAUUUCUUAUGAAAACAAAGAAUAUAUGCAUUGUUCUUGUUAUCCAUCUAUCUCACCAUUAACUUAAUAUUGGAUUUGCAUGGGCCAGAAAAGGUUACAUGCUUCGUGAGGUAUUUAUUGCCCUUGGGAAUGAGCAGAAUGCCAGGAUGAGAAGAGGAGCAAGCUGCAGCCCACGUCUUUUCCAGUGCCUACAAGAAGGGGAUGCACAAAAAACCUGUGGUUUGUGGAAAUGGUGAAUCAUUUUGCACCUCAUCAGUGCUAAUUACAACUCUUUAGGGAAAGAAGGCAUGUUCAUGUGAACAUCAACUUUUUCAGGAAGGUCUCUGAAUAUUGCUGAACAGAACUUUCAUUCAGUUAUAGGAUCUUAGCUGAAAAAGGAAAGACAUGGGGCUCGAUCCAAGGGUGCCGGUCUGAUGGAGAUUUCUUGCGCUGAAAUUUUUGUACGGGUUGUGGGAUCCUUGCGAGCAUGAAGAAUAUGUGGAGUAAGGAGGUGAACAACCUUUGUUGAAGCUUCCAAGUAUAGAGGCUAGAAGAACAUUUUUUGGUUGCUAGAAACAGCAGGAUGUGCUUAAAUUUGGCCAAUUAGAUUUGCUGCGCUCUGCAAACACACCAGAGAUUUGAGGACCCUGAGAGAUGUAUGAGCCACAUGUAUGCCAACAAAUGUAAACACAGUAGAGAUUUCAGGCCUGAGAGAUGUAUGAGCCGCAUGCAUGCCAACAAAUGUAACCCAUUCACCCCGUGAAAUUGAUAAAUCGUUGAGGCCACAGCUAACCAAAGCAAUCAAGUACCAAGCUGUAAUGAAAAAUGUCAUGUGAAUGUGCAUCUACAUUUGCCAAGAAGGAAGUACAUCUAUUCGUGUCCCAGUAACAACCAAUAGUAAUUACAGUACAUAUUGGUUAACUGAUUAUUCACAUCUAUGCACCGGAACCCACUCUUCAGAUGCCACCAGUGCGGUAGGUGCACAUCGGACCACAGCACCGAAAUGCCGUGCUCCCAGUAGUGCUGGGCAGUACGCACGUCAACGUACUGCCGGCCUGGGUGCCGCACCGACGAC